UGUCGCCUUCUUGUUUCCUGGUCCAGGACCUGUACAGGCCUUGAUCUGAGGGCAGGUCAGUCCCAAUGAUUCUUUCUGCAGAUGAGAUUGUUCUCUGUAGUCUGUUUCUGUUCAGCUUGGUUCAGAGCAGAACCAGACAGCAGUGCAGAGCACAUACUGGACGAUGGUGGUGUAAAAUAUGAUCAGCAGCUCCUGAGGCAGCUUUCGAACUGUGUACGGCCUAUAGACCUGAAUGUGAGUCUGCUUGACUGACCACUUGUCCAGGGUCCUCCCUGCUAAUGUUAGGAUUGGAUUGGCUCGGAUGGCUGAAAUAUGACAUUAGUGGGAAUACGUCAUCCUAUGGUUAUAAAGAACUGAGUGGUUUUUACUCAAAUUGAAACUUUUACAUUUCUUUGUUCUCUGAUGUGUGAGACACUUCUCUAAAGGAUUUCCUAGAAUCUUCUGGGACUUCAGGGACUUCUGAUUUUGUAGCUGAUCACAUAUUCACUCUACUACAACAUUCAGUUUGAACACUGUGUACCUCAGGACCCUUGCCAUUGUCUCCUUGUGCCUUUGGUCUAUUAGCACUCAGUUAUUAAGCUGAGGGAGAAGAUGAACUCCAGGGAGACAGAAAAAAAUGCAGCAAUACAAGAUCUGAAGGCUCUCAACAACGAGAUACGAAUAAAGAUAGACAAGCUUAACCAAGAACGGAGUCAGCAUCAGUCUGAAGCCAGGAAGCAACUCAUCAAACUCACCAUGCAGAGCAAUGGCGCCAUGAAGAAACUGCAGGCAAUGAUUGCCAAGGGUGAGAGGGUUGUACGUGUUGGUGAAAUGUGUAGAAAGCUGGAGAGGAAGCAUGAAAAGGUCCUCAGAUCAUCCUUAUCAUCAUCACCAUCAUCACCGUCAUCAGCAGCAGCAGAAGAAAACCACAGAUCACUAACUCAGGAGGGGACGUCUGAGUUUCAAGAGCUGCAGCAGUUGACCCGGCGCCUCAACACAGCUGUGCUGAUUCGAGAUGCUCUGAAGAAACAGAGAGAAGACCUGAAUCAACAGAACCAGGAGCUGAGGCUCCAGGUACACCAGCAGGUUAACAACAUGAGUGUUGGCAACCAAGCCCCUGGCGCGCAGCAUGCUCUAAUCACCGUAUCCCAGGCACCAACCAUGACGGUCCUGCCAAAGAGCAACAGAUGCUGCAACGUCACCAAGGCCGUCCAUGUCAGCUUAGAGACAGCCCCUCCAAAAAAGUCUUCACCUGUUAAGGACAAUUUCAUUAAUACUCAGUGUUGAACUGAAGGUACAUUUACUUACCUGACAGAAUGAGGAAUUCACAAAACACACACAACGGCACACAGGAUUGUGCUGGCAUUAUUAUCAGAUGAUUUUCUCGAUUAACUGGUCAAAAUCAUACCAAGAUGAAGACCUUGAGUGUCUAGUUUCAUCUGGCCAACAUUUAUUAAAACCAAAUAUUCACUGUACUGUUAUACUUAAAAGAGAAGAAACUGCUUUUGAACAUUUUCAGCUUAGAGAGGCAUCAACAAAUUUUUUUUCUAAAGUUGUAAUUGCCUAUAGAUUUAAUCUCAAUUAAACCCUCUGAUCAAACUACCGAA
ensembl:lncRNA